rnacentral:rRNA from 1 species
UACGUAGGGUGCGAGCGUUGUCCGGAAUUAUUGGGCGUAAAGGGCUCGUAGGCGGUUUGUCGCGUCGGGAGUGAAAACGCCGGGCUUAACUCGGUGCUUGCUUUCGAUACGGGCAGACUAGAGGCAUGCAGGGGAGAACGGAAUUCCUGGUGUAGCGGUGAAAUGCGCAGAUAUCAGGAGGAACACCGGUGGCGAAGGCGGUUCUCUGGGCAUGUCCUGACGCUGAUGAGCGAAAGCCAGGGGAGCAAACGGG